GAGGGUACAGCUCAGUGAUAGAGGGCAUGCUUUGCAUGCAUAAGGUCCUGGGUUCUAUUUCCCAGUACCUCCA
rnacentral:tRNA from 1 species